rnacentral:ncRNA from 2 species
AUAUUCAAUUUUACUUUCUUUGAUGGGAAAACCAUUGUUGAGAAUGUAAAACUGGGAAUGUGGUGAAAGUCCACAACUGUACCCGCAACUGUAAACAGAACGAUAUAUCGCCAAGUCAUCAUGUAAUAAAGUGAUUUGUGUAGAGUAUAUCUAGAUGCUGUAAGUCAGGAUACCAGGGGAAAUAUGUGCAUUAAU